ensembl:lncRNA
UAGGAUUCCUCCAGUUCAGCAGCAAAGGCACAGAUGCCUGCAGUUUGACAAGGUAAUUUAAGAGAUUUAAUAGAAGACUUUAUUUCAAAUAUGGAAUCCUUCAUCUUUAAAUUUUGUGAAACACAUUAAUACUCACUACAGAGGAGGCAAUAGAGCUCAGCUGUGUUUUGUAACAACUGAUGUGGACUGAAAUAUCCAGAUCCAAAUCCAAUCCAUACUGAAAGCUGCCACUGAAUUGUUGAAGAGAAGGGCACGCCAGGGAGUGUCAAAUGCAGGCUGCUCCACAAAUUAUGAAGAGCAGGAAAUGAGGGAAGCACCAAGGAAGCCAGAGCAAUAUCCUCACAUGCAAGGAGUCCAGAUGUUGAACCAGAAGCAUCAGGGUCAGAAUUAGGUCCAGAAAAAUGGUUCAGAGAACAGCUACAAGCCAGUCAUCAUGCAGCAAGUCCAUUAUGAUGAGUCAGAGUCGGGGUUAGGGAGGUUGGGACCAAACACAUAUGUACCUGGCAGAGUUGUAAUGUAGCUCAGAUGGGAACUAAGCCAGAAAGCCUCAGACUUGAAAGAGGCUCCUGGGGAAAAGGAAGGUCUGACCCUCACUUGUAGUUCAACUGUUGUCAUUGAAGGAGUUGGCCUCGGCCUUAUCCUGCAGAACUCUUUAAUUUGCUUGCAGAAGGGGAGAUGCUCUCAGAAUACUGACAGGAAGAAUUUUAUAUUCUCUUGAGACAAUGGGUUAUUUAACAAAGCAGAAGAGACCGUAUCAAGCCGAGAAAGUCACAUUUGUAUACUUGAAGAAGACCCAGACUUAUUUUAAUUAAGAAAUAUAGCCAGAGAGUUUCCUGGGUGAAAAUGAAUAAAAAGAACUUCGGACUGACACUAAAUCUUUCUGAUCUGCCUGAAAAACUGAAAUGAGAACAUGUUAAAUGAGGUAAGAAGCUCCUCCAAGAUGAAUAUCUGUGGGAAUCCUCUGAGGACAAAGUUCUGGAAAGUGUUCUGUGAAGGAAAGGACAUUCUUUAUCAUGGAUGGGUACUUUUAUUGAUCUCCAAAUACAAAUGCAAUGUUUGGUGCAAUACUGAAUUCAUGACUACCAUCUUGUUUUGCAGCAAGUCACCUGAAGUGAGAGAAAGACUGAAGGAGAGAUUUUUAAGAGGUAGUCAUGAUAUAAGUAGAUUAGAUAUGAUUUUCUUUUCUUUGUUCCUCUCUAUUUUAAUAAAACUUAUUACUCUAUUGCCUGCUUUGGCUGGUAUGAAUAAAUGUUCUUGUUUACAUU